GACGAACGCUGGCGGCGUGCUUAACACAUGCAAGUCGAGCGGAGCGGCGAACGGGUGAGUAACGCGUGAGUAACUGCCCCCCUCUCUGGGAUAACAGUUGGAAACGGCUGCUAAUACCGGAUAGCGGGGGAUGACUCGCGUCCUAUCAGCUGGUUGGUGGGGUAGGGGCCUACCAAGGCGACGACGGGUAGCCGGCCUGAGAGGUCGACCGGCGACAGUGGGCUGAGAGAGGGACCAAACGCCUACGGGAGGCAGCAGUGGGGAAUAUGGCACAACGGUGGAAAGUCUGAUGCAGAAACGCCGCGUGCGGGAUGACGGUCUUCGGGUUGUAAACCUCUUUCAGCCAUGAAGCGUUAGUGGCAGAAGAAGCACCGGCUAACUACGUGCCAGCAGCCGUGGUAAUAC
rnacentral:rRNA from 1 species